rnacentral:rRNA from 1 species
GUCCACGCUGUAAACGUUGUGCACUAGGUGUCGGGGGUAUUCACCCCUCCGGUGCCGUAGCUAACGUAUUAAGUGCACCGCCUGGGGAGUACGGCCGCAAGGCUAAAACUCAAAGGAAUUGACGGGGCCCGCACAAGCGGUGGAGCAUGUUGUUUAAUUCGAUGCAUCGCGAAGAACCUUACCUGGGCUUGACAUCUGGGGAAUCCCCUUGAAAGAGGGGAGUGCCUUCGGGAACCCCAAGACAGGUGUUGCAUGGCUGUCGU